CCUACGGGUGGCAGCAGUAGGGAAUAUUGCACAAUGGGGGAAACCCUGAUGCAGCAACGCCGCGUGGAGGAAGAAGUUUUUCUGUUUGUAAACUUCUAUCGUUAGGGAAGAUAAUGACGGUAUCUAACUAAUACGCCCCGGCUAACUCCGUGCCAGCAGCCGCGGUCAUACGUAGGGGGCAAGCGUUACCCGGAAUCACUGGGCGGAACGGGCGCGUAGGCGGCGUUGCAAGUCAGAAGUGAAAGCCUAUGGCUCAACUAUAGAACUGCAUUUGAAACUGUGGUGCUAGAGUGCAGGAGAGGUAGGUGGAAUUCCUAGUGUAGGGGUAAAAUGCGUAGAGAUUAGGAGGAAUACUAGUGGCGAAGGCGACUUACUGGAAUGUAAAUGACGCUGAGGCGCGAAAGCGUGGGGAGCAAACAGGAUUAGAUACCCUUGUAGUC
rnacentral:rRNA from 1 species